GACUCCUCCUCUUCCUGUGUGGAACCUGGAAUUCAAACGGCUGGGUAGGAAGCACGCUAGCAGGGGCCUCUGGCCUUGCUGAGGGUCCCUGUUUCCCCUUUUCCUUCCUUUUCACCCAACAAAACCCUGCUUUACUCACCCUUCAAACCAUCUAUGAGCCUAAAUUGUCGUGGUCGUGGAAUGGACAAGGACCCAGUCUUUAGCUGAACUAAGGGAAAGUCCUGCUUUUUGGCGCGCAACAGGGGAGCUCAAGAAACAGGCCUCACUCACGGCAUAUGGAACUAACCACGCCCCUAACUAAGAAGGCACACCUUAGUUGCAGUUAGCACACAAUUAAAGCAACUCUCCAAGUUUUACCUUAAAGUUCAAAAUUGCUAGGAGUUGAAACUACUAGAAAUAUAUUUACAUGCAAGAGUCAAAGAAACUUUGAACUAUUUAUGGCCUUUAAUAAUUAAGUAAGGUAUACUCCUGUGAUCAAGACUUGGAGCAUAUUUGUUUCUCUCUGCCUGGUUCCUCUAGAAAUUGGAAACUAUCAGAACAGAGACCAACUCCGUUUCCCGAUCCCUUUGCAAUCUGCAUUGAACCAUGAGUCAAGUUCUUGAUAAAGGAGUGAAAAUGGAUGACAUUUAAGGCACAUCUGAAGAUGGGGAAACCACAGCACAGAAUAAGGCUGGGCCCUUGAAUCAAUAAAUGAAGGAGAACUACUCAAGAGAACAAAACCACCAGCAAUAUCCACCUGUAUUUGUCUUUUCAUA
rnacentral:lncRNA from 1 species